CUAUGGUUUGCAAAUAAAAACCAUGGCGGAAGGAG
rnacentral:ncRNA from 1 species